rnacentral:misc_RNA from 1 species
UUUUUUUUAAUUUUCUUUAAAGACUACAUUUCUGGUUUUGUUCCGAGCUGCUUUGUUUUUUUGGUGUGUACUGUCGGGGUUUAGAGGUGUAGUUCUCAGUGUUCUAGUUGGUUUCAUUAGGGCUAAUGAUUUUAUCUUUUUAUUUUUUUCCCUUUUUCUGGUGAGGGAGGAGAAGGACCCAUAUUUAAAUAUGCUAUUGAAUUUUGGCAAAGACUAAUGAUUUUCUCUGGGCCUUUCUUACUGUUCAUUGUCGUUCAAAGCUUUCUUUCUGCCUUUUUUUCCCCCUUUCCCUUUACAUUGGAUGGGUCGUAGUAAUUCCUUGUGAAAUACAUUUGGAAAUAUGUAGUAAUUCCUUGUGAAAUACAUUUGGAAAUAUUAUGCUUUGUGUUAUGCUAUUUCCAUUUUCAAAGAUGGGACUAAACAUAGUUCAAAUCUUAACACGUGUCUUGAUGUUGUUUCAUUGUGCUUUUUAAAAAAUCUGUCUUUGUUGUUGGGAUUGAGAUGAUGGAGGAAGGAGUGAUUUUAUUUUGGGCAAUAGAAGAAAUGUGCUCAUUCGAGAUUAGUACUUGCCGAUUUGAUUCCCUGUUUUGAUAAUAUUCUCUCUGAUUUUGCUUCCGCUUGACAAUGCUUUCGUCUUUUUUAGUCGUCAUCCUGAGGUGAAGUGG